rnacentral:rRNA from 1 species
CCCUACGGGGGGCAGCAGUGGGGAAUAUUGGUCAAUGGCCGAGAGGCUGAACCAGCCAAGUCGCGUGAGGGAAGAAUGUCCUAAGGAUUGUAAACCUCUUUUGUCGGGGAGCAAAAAGGCUCUGCGGAGUCGUAUUGAGAGUACCCGAAGAAAAAGCAUCGGCUAACUCCGUGCCAGCAGCCGCGGUAAUACGGAGGAUGCGAGCGUUAUCCGGAUUUAUUGGGUUUAAAGGGUGCGUAGGCGGUCCGUUAAGUCAGCGGUAAAAUUGCGGGGCUCAACCCCGUCGAGCCGUUGAAACGGGCAGG